AUUGAACGCUGGCGGAAUGCUUUACACAUGCAAGUCGAACGGCAGCACGGGGCAACCUGGUGGCGAGUGGCGAACGGGUGAGUAAUACAUCGGAACGUGCCCAAUCGUGGGGGAUAACGUAGCGAAAGUUACGCUAAUACCGCAUACGAUCUACGGAUGAAAGCGGGGGAUCGCAAGACCUCGCGCGAAUGGAGCGGCCGAUGUCAGAUUAGGUAGUUGGUGGGGUAAAGGCUCACCAAGCCGACGAUCUGUAGCUGGUCUGAGAGGACGACCAGCCACACUGGGACUGAGACACGGCCCAGACUCCUACGGGAGGCAGCAGUGGGGAAUUUUGGACAAUGGGCGCAAGCCUGAUCCAGCCAUUCCGCGUGCAGGAUGAAGGCCUUCGGGUUGUAAACUGCUUUUGUACGGUACGAAACGGUUCUCGUCUAAUACAGGGGGCUAAGUGACGGUACCGUAAGAAUAAG
rnacentral:rRNA from 1 species